GCUACUCAAAUGGUCUUAGCUAGGAAUUGUCAAUUGCAUACGCAACUCUUGGGAGCUCAGCUCCAGGAGUGUAGCUCAGCACUGCCUGAACCACAGAAAAUGCUUCUGCUCACAUUCUUCCUGGGGAGAACUUUUGCAGAAUGGACAAAAGGAAGAGAGGAAUUGCUUCUGCACACCUAGUGCCAGUGGUCUUGUUCCUGCUGUCGUCUUCCAUGCAGAAUUCCUGCUUCUGAUGUACCCGUCCCAGCUCCUGAUGGAAUUAUGUGAACUACAGUCAUCAUUUGGAACUACCUGGACACACACAAAAAAAGAAGUAUAUAUUUUAGUGAACCUUUAUGAAUUAGAAACAAAAUGGAUUUCACGAGGCCAGUGAUUUGUUACUACUUACUCUGAACCAGAAAACCUCGUGCCCACGGCC